rnacentral:lncRNA from 1 species
GACAAAAGAUACGUAUUUCAGUGAUGAAGGUGAGCAAAUGAGAUUGUUAUGCUUCCUUUCUCCACGAUUUUGAAAUAUAUGUAUGUGUGAUAUGCUCUCUCUUUGACAGUUUGCAGGUAGAUUUGAGUUCUCAUCUGGGGCACUUGUAGAGCUCCUUUCAGCUAUCAAGGGGGAGAUGACAAUGAAUUCGGGCUUGUUACUCACAAUCUCAGUGGCAAUGAUCGCAUAAUAAUCAUUUUUCAAGUUGAGAAGUUUUCAAUCUUUUAUUAAUCUUGCACUGCUUAUUGCUUAAUUUGGAGGAAGGCUCUGGUUCUAGUAGCAGCACUGAGCAAACCAUCUUGGUCAAGGAUUAUUUCCAAGGCAAAUGGAGCCCUUCUCCAAGCUUUGACUGAAUAUUGUUUUCUUGGAUAGUUUUCUAUCAACUAAAGGUUAUCUGUGGUCAGACCGUGUAAAUGAAUUUGUUUAGCCAUAUCUACUUUUUGUUACCACAUGGUGAGGUCUUGGACGAGAGGAUUAUAGUGUUUCAACCUCCUUCUAACCUGAUUUAUAUCAGUCCAAAUGUCGAUUGUGCUGUUUUUGGUGGCUUGAGGAGGGAUCGAGAUUUUAGUGGGAAGAAUUUAGUAGAAUUUGAAGAUGGUUUGAUUUUUGGAUCAAUUGAUCAUGUCAAUUCCAUGUCUAGGUUUGCUAGUUUUAUGUCCCGGGUUGAUGAAUUCUUAGCUCUUUACCGAUUGAUAUAGUCGUGACUUGUAAUUUAUCUAUUUAUCAAUUUUUGCAAUAAAUAUAUGGGAAGAAUAAAAAUGUUUU